CAGGAUGCUCUGAGACCAGACGACAAAUAGGCCCUUAGGUCGAGUCAUGGCUUCACACCAGGGGAUGCAAAGAGCAGAGUAGUUUUAAGAAAGGCUGCAUCAGAAUCGGCAGGCUGAACUACAGUUCCACAGGAAUAGUCAGGCCAGUGUUCGAUGCAGAGGAAAGAGAGAAGGAGCCAUUUAUCAAUGACCAGGACUGAGCAGCUGAAGCAGUUGUUCUCCUUGAACCUGGAUGACCAUGAGCUCAGAGCACAGCUGACCAGACACCUCUCCUAAGACCCACACUGACCAUUAGUGCCAGUCAGGUAUGCUGUGAGCACAGAAACACAUUGCUGACUCAGCCAGCACAGCCCUCUGCCACUAAGCCGAUAAUUUAUGUACAUGCUUAUCCAAUGGAUCAUCACUAACUGAGCCAGCAGGGGAGUCUAGCUUGACCGUGUGGAAGUGCCGUCCACUGUCACGGACUCCUACGCACUGGCUGAUACUCCAUGGGAACCUCCUGCUCCAG
rnacentral:lncRNA from 1 species